AGUUUGAUCCUGGCUCAGAAUCAACGCUGGCGGCGUGCCUAACACAUGCAAGCCGAACGAGAAAGUGGAGCAAUCCAUGAGUACAGUGGCGACCGGGUGAGUAACACGUGACCAACCUACCCUCGAGUGGGGAAUAACUCCGGGAAACCGGAGCUAAUACCGCAUAACAUCGCAAGAUCAAAGCCGCAAGGCGCUUGAGGAGGGGGUCGCGGCUGAUUAGCUAGUUGGUAGGGUAACGGCCUACCAAGGCGAAGAUCGGUAGCCGGCCUGAGAGGGCGCACGGCCACACUGGAACUGAAACACGGUCCAGACUCCUACGGGAGGCAGCAGUGGGGAAUUUUGCGCAAUGGGGGAAACCCUGACGCAGCAACGCCGCGUGGAGGAUGAAGUCCCUUGGGACGUAAACUCCUUUCGACCGGGACGAUACUGACGGUACCGGAAGAAGAAGCACCGGCUAACUCUGUGCCAG
rnacentral:rRNA from 1 species